rnacentral:rRNA from 1 species
GAACGCGUGGCUUCGGCCACGAGUGGCGCACGGGUGAGUAGCGCGUGGGAACCUGCCCUUUGGUUCGGAAUAACCUCGGGAAACUGUGGCUAAUACCGAAUGCUCCCUACGGGGGAAAGAUUUAUCGCCAAAGGAGGGGCCCGCGUCCGAUUAGGUAGUUGGUGAGGUAACGGCUCACCAAGCCUGUGAUCGGUAGCUGGUCUGAGAGGAUGAUCAGCCACACUGGGACUGAGACACGGCCCAGACUCCUACGGGAGGCAGCAGUGGGGAAUAUUGGACAAUGGGGGCAACCCUGAUCCAGCAAUGCCGCGUGAGUGAUGAAGGCCUUCGGGUUGUAAAGCUCUUUCGCCCACGACGAUGGUGACGGUAGUGGGAGAAGAAGCCCCGGCUAACUUCGUG